GGGUCCGGGGGGGGGGGGUGCAACAAAUUGCCGCCAGCCGGGGAGAAGUUGCAGCGAAGAGAAAUCCCUCCCUUCCCCCGCUCCCCCCCUCCCCUCCCGCUCCCUCCUCCUGGAGCCGUGGCAGCGAGCGGCGGCGGCGGCGGCGGCGGCCCGACAAGGGAAGGAGCCGGCAGCGAGUGAGCGGCUCCCGCAGCCCGGCGAUGCCGCAGCAGCCCCCGCGGAGCCUCGGCGGGGUGGGCCCGGCCCCCGCACGCCCCGCGCCCCCCGGCGGCGGAGCCCCCUGAAGCGGGCGGUGGUGGCGGCGGCGGCGGCGGCGGCCCCGCGGGCGCUGUUGCGCAGCCCCUGCCCCCGGCACGGCUCCGCACGGCUCGGCUCGGCUGGGCGCGGAGCCGCAGCGCUGAUUCAUGGAGCCCCGCGCCCGCUGGCUCGGCGAGGAGGUGUGAAGCCCCCCCGGCCCCUCCUCCGCAGCCCCCGGGCUCGCCCGCCCCUGCUCGGGAGCGUUGUUGGGUCCCCGCCGGCAGCCGCCGCGCCUGGCGCACGGAAAAGGGGGGGAGAAAGAAAAAAAAAAAAAAAAGCGUUGAUGCAUCGCUGUGGAAAUUCAUUGUGUGACUUUCUGGGUAUUUACUGAGUUUCAGACCCGAGAUGCAGCUCUUGAAAGCUUUAUGGGCACUAGCAGGAGCAGCGAUCUGCUGUUUUCUUAUAUUUGUCAUCCACUCACAGUUUCUUAAAGAAGAGGGACCAUCUGAAGUUUGUGGUCAACUGGCUGCAGGUACAUGUGAGAUUGUUACUUUGGACAGAGAUAGCAGUCAGCCCCGAAGGACUAUAGCCCGACAAACAGCUCGCUGUGCAUGUAAAAAAGGACAGAUUGCCGGUACAACAAGAGCAAGGCCAGCCUGUGUUGAUGCACGAAUUAUCAAAACAAAGCAGUGGUGUGAAAUGCUUCCAUGUUUAGAAGGAGAAGGCUGUGAUUUGCUAAUCAAUAAAUCAGGCUGGACCUGUACACAACCAGGAGGUCGGAUAAAGACAACCACGACUGAAGACCAGCUGGAAAUGUCCUGAGGCCAUGGUCUAGUGGUCUGAGCUGGGGACUGGGAGUCAGAAACUCCUGAGCUCUAAUCCUGGCUCUGACAGUGACUCCCUCUGUGGCCUUGGCCUGUCUGAGGCCAUGUGGUUUGGAGAUCUGAUCACUAGUCCGAAAAGGAAAGGCUGUGUGCAAGAUUUCUGGGGUGUUUUUUCCUGGAAAAGGUCUCCUGACAAAUGCAGCAACACAGAAUCCUCGUAGGAGUGGUUUAGGCUCUGUGUGAGCUACUUAACUUAGUCAAGUUUCACUGCUGUGGAUCAUCAUCCGUUCUAUGUCAUCAACUCAACUGUCUGUAUCUCUGUAUCUCAUGAAAGACAGCAUAAAUCCUCUACAUUAUGAGAUAAAGUUUGUUCUACCAUACUAAGGAUCACUGGACUAAGGAAUAUAGAAAAAAAAAAAGAGAUAUGCUUGGGCAUUAGCAAUACAAAAAGCUUCAUGGUUAACGUUUCAUCUGCGUGAUACACCACUGCUGGACUUGCUGUUAUCUACAUGUUUUAAUCUGAAGAGUCUGCUACAAUGAAGAGUAUCAUCCCAAUCAGCCUUAGAGAAGACUGUUUUGCCUAUGGGAGGACACUGAGGUGCAAAAGAGAAACUCUUCUUGUGCCCUAAACUGUCUGAAUUGCUUUUAUUUUCUUAUACUUUCAAUAUAUACAAUAGACCAAAGAGCAAAAUCUAUUUUAAAGUGGACACAAUCUUACGGUUAACAGAGCUAUGUCAUUAAAUUGUAGGGGGUCUCCACAAAGACAUGAUUCCAGCUUUCACAAAGCUGAGCUGUUGUCCAGCAGAAGUCUUUAUGGAAAGCUGCAGUAAAAACUAACCCAGAGACCAGCUCUUGAAAUGCCACUUUUGAGAGAACAUAAUGGAGCACUGAAAGGAAAUGACCUAUGUUUGAAAAACUGGGACAAAAAGAACACAAACUGUCUACAUGGCACCUUUAUUCCUCUGUACUUAGAUUGACUUUCUCGUACUAAAAUCAUUUUCAGUUUUAACCAGUUAAACAUGCCUCUUCUACAGUUCCAUUUUUGAUAGUUAAAGUUGGAUAAUACAGUAUUUGCAAAGAGCAUGUUUGGUCAUCUGUGGCCUAUGUCUCAUCUGAUACACCAUUUAGCACCAGAAAGCAAAUUAAAGAGAAAACAAAAGUAACACUUGUUUGAAAGAGAUCAUUAAAUGUAUUUUGAAAAGCCUAAAGUUAUAUAUUUAACAGUUUUUAUAUGUUGUAUAUUUGUAGAAAAUCCUAUUUAACAAUUAACGUGAUAACUCUGACAGUCAUGACAAGUGGUUCAGAGUUAAGUUGUGUUUUAUUACUUCAGUUGUCUCUGAAGUGACUGGUGUCGUUUGCUUUCUUCCAUUGGGACAUUCUGGAUGUAAAGCAUGACCAGAGAGGACUGUGUAGAAAAAGCAAAGAAUAAUGUUGUUUAUAUUACAUAAAUGCAUUCAACCAUUGCACUGUUGGAAGGCAUUUUUUAUUUUUAUUUUUUAUUUUUUUGUCUUUAUGUACUGAUAAAAAUAGAGUGUAAAAUAUUUUACUCAUUGCUCUUCAUAGCAAGGUUUGUUUCUCUCUCUCUCCCUCCUACUUUUAUGUAAUACAGUCUAAGGGUCUGUUUGCAGCCUGUUCCUCUAUCCCAUUUUCAGUGUUUUACCUCAUUGUUAGAAAGUCCACUGUUUCAGCAUUAUUGGUUAGUGAAAAAUUAGCAAAGAUGAGGGGAAAAAUAUGAUAAACCAGAGAAACAAACAAACAAAACUUGCUCCCUUUUACUACACCUUUCUAUGUGUAAGUUUCAUACAUACCGGUAUGAUGCACUCAAGAAGGAAGCUUCAUUUCCUCCUGGCAAAUAUAUUAAGGUUUCAAGUAUACUACCUAAUACUCCAAUUAACUUUUAGAAUUAUGCUAGUUCUAUGCUACUAAAGAAAAAUAUAUAGAGAUUGUUCAAGUGACCAUAGAUGAAAGGUUCAAAAAUGAAAAGUUGAUUAAAGAAUUUUUUAAAGGCUUGUUCUAAUACAGGCCUUUUCUUACUUAAUGAAGAGGUUACAGGAGAGAUGAACUAUAGAUGAUUUUGUCUUCAAGUAAAUAUAUACAAAUUAUUAUUUAAUCUUAGGAGUUUGACCUGUGUCAAGGUAGCAAUUAAAGCCCAGCCACUUGAAAAGUGUUAUGGACUGACUGCACUAUAAAUGACCAAUGUCAGGUUUAAAAUGUCAUGCAAUAAAUGAUGGUAAAUACAUUUACUGUAUAUGUAGACCUCAAGAGCCAGAUCCCUCACUCUACCAACUCUCUGUUUUGAUUUAUUUUAAAGGGAGUGUUGUAGCCUUAUUUAGUUAACACAGAACAAUUAAAGAUGUUACAUCGUUUUUUUGUUGCUUUACAGUAUUCAGUUUUGUGUUGGUUCAGCUAAAUUAUCUAAAAUAAAGAAAAUCCUUUUAUAAGUGAGACUUUCGUUCCCUGAGCGUGACAUCAUCAAAGGAGUUUCUCCAGGUGAUUAUUAAGGUGGGAGCAUUGAAAGGAAGACAUAGCAAUGGAAUGUGAAAAUGAGGACAUGGGUCAUGUUUUGAAACUGAAGUUUUACCCUUCCCUUUUCAGGUGCUGGAUACAUUCAUUCCGGUGUGCCCAGUUACUGAUCAGAUUAAGGCCAUUCAUCCUCUGGAAACCAGAUCCCAACAGAGGAUCUAAGAAUGGACAUCUAUAAUCUUUAUAACUAAAUUCAUAGCUUCCAGUCAGUUCUGAAUAUCCUUGGUUAUGUCUUUGUUUUCUGUGUACUUCAAAUGCUCAAUGAAAGAUACCACAUUUUUUUACGUGGGCUAUGCUGUACAAGAAAUAUCAAAGAUAAAAAAGGUUGGGAUUGUUCAUCAAAGACCAGUUCAAUUUUCUGAGUCUCCUCUGUCCAACAGACACCUCAAGACACUUAGAGUGUUUUCGUACUCCACCUCUGCCCCCCCCCCCCCCCCCCCCCAAAAAAAGUUUCAAAUUAACAAAAUAUACUGUCUGUGUUUAUCACUGUGAAUUACUAACCUAAGAGCAGUGGUGAAAUGUUUGUCUCUCAGGAACGAUAUGUUUUCAGAAUAUUGUGAAAUUCUAAUUUUACAAAACUAAGUUACAUUAAAAAAAAAUGUUUGUUUCUGAAAGUAUUUUAUGUGCCUCUUCCAAAGCAAAAUUUGAAAAACAGAGGGAAGUGUCUUCAUAGUCUUCAUAGCCUUGGCCACAAGUAACUUUUUCAAAACACACUUGAAAGGGAACAGAAGAAUAUAGAAAAUCACAUAGUAGACUUAAAACAACCUCUGGAAAGGCAGUAAGCCCUUUAACAGUUUUUAGAAAAAAGCUUCUUUAUAAGGUUCUGUUAGUCCAGGUGAGGUCAGAUGUAACUAGUGUUUUAAACAUCUGGGACAUCAAAUAUAGCAAAUAUUAAUACUCUAUAGCAAACAAUAUGACACAUCAUUUUCCAGUUUUAUAAUUAUGCUUUCAGCUUAUUUUGUCUCUGGCCAAUUCAUUUCUUCUCUGCAGUAGCUCAGGUUUUAUGUAAGCAAUGUCCUCAAUCAUUCACUUGUUUAUAGAAACUGUACCCACAUGCUGUUGCAUAAAUCUUUAACUCAGACACUUACUAUCUGAUAUGGCCUAUUCAUCACAAAUGUUAGUACAAUUAGAAUUUCCAGAAGAGAAUAAAGAAUUCAACAUCGUGUCUGAAGAACCUGUAUGAAGAACAGCUGAACUAGAAGCCAGUAAAUUGCUUGGUUGAAAGGAAAAUCACAAUGCUUACAGCCUGUGCCAUUGAACUAGUGUAAAGACUACACUAGCCAACACUGAGUGUAGACACAAACCAGAAG